rnacentral:rRNA from 1 species
GAACGAGAAAGUGGGGCAAUCCAUGAGUAAAGUGGCGUACGGGUGAGUAACACGUGGAUCAUCUGCCCUUUAGUGGGGAAUACCGCUGGGAAACCGGCGACAAUACCGCAUAAGCUCGAGAGAGGAAAGCAGCAAUGCGCUGAAGGAGGAGUCCGCGGCCGAUUAGCUAGUUGGUAGGGUAAUGGCCUACCAAGGCUGUGAUCGGUAGCCGGCCUGAGAGGGCACACGGCCACACUGGCACUGAAACACGGGCCAGACUCCUAAGGGAGGCAGCAGUGGGGAAUCUUGCACAAUGGGGGAAACCCUGAUGCAGCGACGCCGCGUGAGCGAUGAAGCCCUUCGGGGUGUAAAGCUCUUUCGGCAGGGAAGAUUAUGACGGCACCUGUA